UACGAGGGGGGCAAGCGUUGUUCGGAAUCACUGGGCGUAAAGGGCGCGUAGGCGGCUCAUGAAGGCUGUGGUGAAAGUCCGGGGCUCAACCUCGGAUCGGCCGUGGCGACUCGUGGGCUGGAGCACUGUAGAGGCGGGUGGAAUUCCCGGUGUAGCGGUGGAAUGCGUAGAGAUCCGGAAGAACACCAGUGGCGAAGGCGGCCCGCUGGGCAGUGGCUGACGCUGAAGCGCGACAGCGUGGGGAGCAAACAGG
rnacentral:rRNA from 1 species